UAGUAAUAAUUUACCCAAAUUAAUUAAUUAAAGGCGGCUUAAAGGAAUUGAAAGCGCACUCCUUAAUAUCACUUUCACGUUCUUUUGUCACUUUCACUUUACUAAACCUUUAAAAAAAAUAAAAUUCAAAGUACUGCUUGUUUAUUGCUUCAAUUCGUGAAACCUCCACCGCUGUAAUAACCUUCAGCCGCUGACUCACCGCUCUACCGCCGCACCACCGCUCCACCGCCGCACCACCGAUCGCCGCACAACUUCUGAGCACUGCACCACUCCGGCACUCCGCUGAGUAUAGAUUGUGGAGGAGAUGGUAAUUACAGUGACAAAAAAACUGGGUUAGCAUGGAUUUCAGACAAUGGAAUUAUGAAUCAGGGAAAAACAGUAGAUAUUCAGAGCUCAAAUGAUGAAUGGGAACCCUACAAAAAGAGAAGGGAUUUCCCAACAGAUGACAAGAAAUACUGUUAUACAUUAGACACAAAGGAAAGGAGAAGGUACCUUGUAAGGGAAACAUUCCUAUAUGGAAGCACUGCAACUGCUGACACAUACCCCAGCUUUCUGUUAUACUUGGAUGCAACUAAGUGGGCAACUGUAACGGUGUUCGACGGAUCGAGAACGUAUGUUAAAGAGAUGAUCAUCAGAGCACCUUCAAGCUCCAUUGAUGUCUGUCUUUGCUGUGCAACUACAGGGUCUCCCUUUAUCUCUACUCUGGAGCUUCGACCAUUGAAUCUCUCAAUGUACGCCACGGAUUAUGAGGACAACUUUUACAUGAAGGUUGCUGAUAGGGUGAACUUUGGAGCUCCUACGAAAGAUCCCAUAAGGUACCUGGAUGAUCCAUUUGAUAGAGUAUGGGAAUCAGAGCUACAUAAAUAAUGUCCUUACAGAGAGGAUUUAUAGUGCCGGAAGAACGUAGAAAUUACGUAUUAGGGAGAGCUUCAAUCCGGUGGAGAGCUUUCAAGGCCAGAUUAAUAAAGGAUUGGAUGUACGACACCAAGGGAGUAAAUCCAAAUGUGAUUAUAAAGAAACCACCUUUGACAAUCCUGCUGAUUUUGAAAUACUCAAACAAUUAAAGCACCGGAGGCUCAACAAAUCCAAGGAGAAAUUGAUUGAGACAAUUGAAUCUAGGCAAAUGAUCAUCCCCGACAAGUAUUUUAAACAAGUUCCUCAUACAUAUUCUCAACAAAUGAUUGACGAGCUUAGGGAAAGGUAGAUUUCAUAUGGUAACCGUAUACCAUCAACCAAAUGACGACGACGAUGAUUUAUGUGAAUUGUAGAUCAAUAUGGUAUUGGUAUAUUUUUGGGGCAUCAAUUUUUUUUUAAAUCAACAUUAACUAGAAAGGUUUUUGAUAUAGAACAAAUUUUGUAUGAAUGAUUCAAUUUAAUUGUGAUGGGAUGUUUUAAAUUAUAUAUAUGAAGUAUAUUUUGAUGGC